UAACCUGAAACUGCUUAUUCAGUGUUUUAUGCCAUUGGGAUAGAGACCAUACAGGCAGAAUACGAGAUGUUCUUUUAUUUUGUACUUGGUCUUACUCUAGCAGCAUAGGAAGCUGAGGACAGGCUUGUGUGGGAAUGGGAAGGGGAAUCAAAUUGGCUUGGAACCAGGAGCUCCAGAUAGCCAUGAUGGUCAGUGUGCGCAGAUGCUUUGCAAAGCAGUCACCAAGUCUGUGCUUGGUCUCACUGAUGUACAAGUAGACGAGGCCAUGCUGAGAGCUUCAAAUGUAACAGACAAGUGUAACAUGCUGUAGGGUUUCACUGCUGUGUAACAUGCUCCAAGGUUUCACUGAUAAUGUAAUGGUUUCUCUGUAGCAGCAUUGUUUGGGUUAUGACUAGAGAUAACGGGCUUUGGAAUGCUGUUGCUCUUACUUGAGAGUCUGGAAGAGAUUUUCGCAGUCUUUUGCCGGGGGUAGAUGAGGUGAGAAGACGCAAAUGGAGAGAGUUGAUAGACCACCGGAAGAGUGGACUUGGAGCGAGGGUCCGAAGGGCAGCGACGAUCGGAGGAGGUCGAUUGGCUUAACAGACGGAAAAAUCAAAAUCAUCACAGUUGUUGAAUGCAUUUUCCCCCAAUUCCAUACAGCACGGAAUUGAAGAUUUGUUUCUAAUUCAAUACAUUUGCUUCUGUGGCAUUCCUGCUGAAAUCUCAUUAGCUGAGAAAAAAGGACUACAUUGGCUAAUGAUGAUUAGAGUAUUAUAUGUACCUCCUGAACAAUUUCCUUGGGAAAGAUCCAUGCAAAUUGGUCAUCCUUCAAAAGCUCUUGGACAAAAUCAAUUCCAUUCAAACAGAACAGCUUUCGCACAAGAAAGAAGUUGGGAAACAACAUCAAAACAGAAGCGAAUUCUGGCAACAAACUGUAAGGUUUCUAUUGUUGGCUUUUCACACUUGCGCUGAAUGUGCAUCUGAAUGAAUUCUCCCUCUUGAGCCAGGUAGCCAAUCUUUUC